UGGUCACGUUGGUCACGGAGUUUUAAAGGAAGGAGAAGACACUUACCAGUAUUCCUUGCCCAGCUCCGUGGAGAUGGCAGUGAUGUCUGCCAGCUUGGCUGUGCCCAGGGAGCGAAAGAAGCUGGUUUGGCAAUCCUCGUGGCAGGUGAAGAGGCGGUCCUCUGUGAUCACCAGGCAGCAAGGGAUACAGGGGCUGGGAGCUAUGCCCUGGGGUAUGACCUGGACAUUGGCAGAAGACAGGGUAUGCAGCCCAGGCUGGUCUGGAACUUGUUAUGUAGCAGAGGAUGUAUGUAGCAUACGCCUAUCUCCCACACUGGAUUUGAAGAGAGCCACUCCACCUGACAACCUGUAUCUCCAGAAUUACCAAGCUCCCCCGGGGUUCCCAAAAACAGCGAGAAAAGAUUACAAAGCCA